rnacentral:misc_RNA from 1 species
AAAGUCGUAACAAGGUUUCCGUAGGUGAACCUGCGGAAGGAUCAUCACUGUGAUUCAGGGGUGGGUGUGCUGCCCACCCCAACCAAUCUUGUGUGCACCGUUUCACUGGUCAAAAGGGCUGCGUUGUGUGUUGGCGAGAGGGCGCCGCUUUGUGGAGUGCACAUACAUGUGCGCACUCUCGCCGACCGCGCAUACACAGUGCUCCAUCCAUCCACUCUACACAAUCUUUGUCUUUUAUAACCCCAACUUGUAUAAUACAUUACAACUUUUAACAAUGGAUCUCUUGGCUCUC